GUGUUUUAGCAGGUGGCACAGAUCACAAAGCUGAUGCCAUUCCUUCUGACCACUCCUUUAGCUCCCUGUCUGCUGGGCUUCCCCAGUAGAAAGUCAUUCUUUUCUCUCCAGAAUCUGUAAGCCUUGAGCACGGAAGUCUCUUGCUUCCCUACCUCGCCCUGUGUCAAGCUUCCAAUCGGUGUCUGGCUUCAGAAUGGACUCACAGUUGCUCAUUUCAUCCAACAGAAUAUAAUCUGUUAACAGUGUGAUCUUUUUGAUGCUGAUUUGACCGGUGGGGGGUCCAGUCGGGCUGAUAUUUGUUUCUUUUAAUGUUUCUAUUUUUCUUCUUGAGCUUGUUCUUCUUUCUGGCAUAGCAAGAUAGUAUCUUCGUCUGGCAUUUUCUAAGUUUCUGUUUUGUAUUCAGUCGUUUGUCCAGGAGGCUCUGACUCCCUGGAAUAGAGGACAGUACAGAGAAGGGAGUGUGUGUGUGUGUGUGUGUGUGUGUGUGUGUGUGUGUGUGCGUGUGUGUGUAUGUGUGUGUGUGUGUUGCAGCUCCAUUGGGAGAGUGCUUGCUAAGGUAGAUGAAGACCUGCAUAGACUUACAUGUAGAUCCAUCGCAAAUGUAUGGUGUUGUAGGAUACGCCUGAAAUCCCAGUACACAGGAAGCAGAAGCAAGAGAGUCAGAGGUUCAAAGAUGUCCUAAGAUCCAACCCAGUGAGUUUGAGGCCAGCCUGGAUACAGGAAACUUUGAAAAUAAAAGUAUCUGGAUGGUAGAUGUGCUCAUUCAUGCUGUAGCAUCAUUUCCCCCAAAUACUUUAUUACUCCCAAAUUACAGAGACAUGUGAUUUCCUGAAAUGAGCCAAAUCAAGUCAGAAUAGAGUAUCUGUAAAGGCAGGUCUACUGGGAAACCUCUCUGGGGUUAGUGAGUUCACUGAGCCCAAGGAAAUUGACCAGGAAAGUCACCAUGGGAAGGAGACAGAGGGGAGGGGGAUAGGGUAGAGGGACGUGUAGAGGAUAUAUGGAGGGUGGGGUAUGCCAGGUAGGGACUGAGGGAUGCUAGGAGAACCUGAAAGCCAGGUCCACUUUGGUAUGUUAGAUAUGCACCUCAGCUGUUUGUCCAGGGUCUGAAACCCAACACAGAGUAAAGCUUAUUUUUGUGUUCAUCUAUACCUAUGUAGAACUAUUCAUAUCAAACAUCUGUCAUGGUUUGAAUAUGCUCGGCCCAGGGAGUGACACUAUUAGAGUAGGUGUGUCACUGUGGUCAUGGGCUUAAGACCCUCACCCUAGCUGCCUGGAAGUCAGUCUUCUGCUAGCAGCCUUCAGAUGACGUUGUAGACUUCUCAGUUCCUCCUGCACCAUGCCUACCUGGGCGCUGCCAUGCUCCCACCUUGAUGAUAAUGGACUGAACCUCUGACCCUGUAAGCCAGCCCCAAUUAAAUGUUGUCCUUAUAAGAGUUGCCUUGGUCAUGGUGUCUGUUCACAGCAGUAAAACCUUAACUAAGACAACCUCCAUUUCCAAUCUAGUCUUUCUGGUUAUUCUUAAAAUUCUUCCCUACUGGACUGUCCUCUCUGGAUGAGGUAACUCACUACCCAUCUGCCAUCUCUGCUGCUGGUUUCCUUUUUAGGCUGUCUCCUCUAGCUGCUGGGGCAUUAGGUCUGGGUCCUAAUUCCACUGUAGGACACCAUUCUUCGGUCUGAAGGAUCACUUACAUCCCAUCUUUCCAACCUUCUGGCCCUAUGUUGGCUCUGACUUAGUACCUCAGGCUGUCCCCCUUGCCCCUGCGGACACCCGGCUUACCUGACAGAGCCUCUGCAAUUUCAAUCUGCAGUCUACACAGACACCUGUUCCUCCCUGCUCAGAUCUUCUGAGGAAGGCCAUUUGGUGAAAUAGCGCCUAGAAGUCAGUGUGACUCAGCAAAUUUUUAAGGAUCUUCCUGGGUCUGUACAAAAACUGUGUGUGUAGGGGUUGGGGAUUUAGCUCAGUGGUAGAGCGCUUGCCUAGCAAGCGCAAGGCCCUGGGUUCGGUCCCCAGCUCCGAAAAAAAGAAAAAAAAAAAAAACUCUGUGUGUGUGUGUGUGUGUAUGUGUGUAUGUGCGCGCGUGUGCACUCAUGUAUAUUUGUGUGUGAGGGUUUAAGCUCUGAAAAAAAAAAAAGAACAACAAAUAAUAACCAAAUCUGGAAAAAAAAUAGGCAACAUAGUUUCAAUUUUCGAGCCUGUUAAGAAUGCUAAGAUAGAAUUCAUUAUCCUUCUUCCUCCCUGCUCCGGCCUUGAGACAAACUGAUAUGGUGCCAUGAGUGGAGAAGAAGGUUGUGACAUCAGCCCCUAAGCUCAGCUACCUGUGAAGUUUCUGCAGGAGUGAGGAGGGAGCAGCUACGGAGCAGACGCAUGCAGCAGCUGUGAGACUUGACCGGAAGGACAAGGCAGGAAGCCGCUGGUGGAGUAGGCGAUCGAAAACUGUUUCUCAGUUCCUCGGAGACAUGGCUGUUCAUGCGGCUCUUCUGCGUGACCUUUCAGAGUCUCGGCGAAAACCUGGGCAAGGAGAAAACUUACUUUUAACAAACUCAUAUUUGGCUCAAUAAAAAAAUGCAGUGAAUUUCCAUAGAAA